CCUACGGGAGGCAGCAGUGAGGAAUAUUGGUCAAUGGACGAGAGUCUGAACCAGCCAAGUAGCGUGAAGGAUGACUGCCCUAUGGGUUGUAAACUUCUUUUAUAUGGGAAUAAAAUGUUCCACGUGUGGGAUUUUGUAUGUACCAUAUGAAUAAGGAUCGGCUAACUCCGUGCCAGCAGCCGCGGUAAUACGGAGGAUCCGAGCUUUAUCCGGAUUUAUUGGGUUUAAAGGGAGCGUAGGUGGAUUGUUAAUGCAGUUGUGAAAGUUUGCGGCUCAACCGUAAAAUUGCAGUUGAAACUGGCAGUCUUGAGUACAGUAGAGGUGGGCGGAAUUCGUGGUGUAGCGGUGAAAUGCUUAGAUAUCACGAAGAACUCCGAUUGCGAAGGCAGUUCACUGGACUGCAACUGACACUGAGGCUCGAAAGUGUGGGUAUCAAACAGGAUUAGAUACCCUAGUAGUC
rnacentral:rRNA from 1 species